UACGUAGGGAGCAAGCGUUGUUCGGAUUUACUGGGCGUAAAGGGUGCGUAGGCGGGUUUUUAAGUCAGAGGUGAAAUCCUGGAGCUCAACUCCAGAACUGCCUUUGAUACUGAGAAUCUUGAGUACGGGAGAGGUGAGUGGAACUGCGAGUGUAGAGGUGAAAUCGUAGAUAUUCGCAAGAACACCAGUGGCGAAGGCGGCUCACUGGCCUAC
rnacentral:rRNA from 1 species